rnacentral:lncRNA from 1 species
CCUGGGUUUUGAAGCGGGUGCUGCUCCUGCUGAGCCAACUCGGGGCACAGGUUAUUACCUGCAGCCAAGAGCAAAAAUCUAAGCAGGGCUCGGGCGCACGUGGCUGUUCCCAGAACCGCCGCGCAGAGCUGCUUUCAUAUAAAAAAAAAGAACUCAACCAAAAAACAACCGAGGGUGAUCCUCUCCGAAGAAAACAAGUCUCUGUGGUCGGGCAGUGAUGCUAUCGUCUGGCUGCAAGUGGUCCAUGUCGAUGGAAGAUCUGCAGGUCCCACUUGUCCCCUCUGCUGCCAGCCCCCUGGACACCGAGCUCAGUGGGAGGACACAGGGAUGGGGACAGGGUGUUCUGCCCCCCAGGACCGCAGUGUGGGAGGUGAGCAGGUCUGCGGCUGCUUGAAGAGCUCACUGGAAUUGAGCUGGUUUCUGUUGAGUAAUUUUGAGAAACUCGUUUGGGG